rnacentral:misc_RNA from 1 species
UUUCCGUAGGUGAACCUGCGGAAGGAUCAUUAACGAAAGCGUGUCUUAAAAACACACGUUUUUAUUAUUUCAAACCAACUCGUGUGACUGUUCUGUUCCUGUCGUUGGGUGAGUGGGGAGUGAGGACAAUGGUGUGAGUCAUUUAACCGUGACUCUGCCUCUCUUCUCUAAGGUUGUAACCUAAGCUCAUUUUGACGACAGUAGAUGAAUUCUGCUGUAAGGCCGCACAUUGGCUUACAGUGUGGUGCCACUUUUCUUAUUUAUUUAAACCCUUUCAAUAGCAAUCUGAACUAUUUUUUUCUCAUAGUCUCUUUGUGAGCGAACAGUGCUAAAAAAAAACAACAAAAUCGAAACAACUCUUAGCAAUGGAUAUCUUGGUUCUC